rnacentral:rRNA from 1 species
ACUCAAAGGAAUUGACGGGGGUCCGCACAAGCGGUGGAACAUGUGGUUUAAUUCGACACUACGCGAGGAACCUUACCUAGGCUUGACAUAUUUUUGACAACCGUAGAAAUACGGCUUUCUAAACGUAAGUUUAGACAAUUUUACAGGUGCUGCAUGGCUGUCGUCAGCUCGUGUCGUGAGAUGUUGGGUUAAGUCCUUUAACGAGCGCAACUCCUACCGUUAGUUGCAAUUCCGUAAGGAAGCACUCUAUCGGGACUGCCUGGGAAACCAGGAGGAAGGUGGGAAUGAUGUCAAGUCCGCAUGGCCCUUAUGCCUAGGGCAACACACGUGUUACAAUGGUUGGUACAAAGGGCUGCAAGCUCGUAAGAGUAAGCUAAUCCCCUAAAAUCAAUCUAAGUUCGGAUUGAGGUCUGCAACUCGACCUCAUGAAGUUGAAAUCGCUAGUAAUCGCAUAUCAGAACGAUGCGGUGAAUACGUUCUCGGACCUUGUACACACCGCCCGU